rnacentral:lncRNA from 1 species
GCCGUGCGGCGCGGAGGGAGGCGGUGCCGCCGCCGCGGAGAGGCGUCGAGGCACCUCGCUUCACCUGCCGCCGGCUCAGCUCGGGGCGGGGCGAGCUGUCUGCUGCAGCUGCAGCUGCUCCGCUUUCCCCCUGGCCGAGGGGCGCAGGUCGCGGGCGGGGAACCGGCCCGCAGGGGCUCCACAGCGCCGGCCCUGCCGCGGCCGGGGCGCUGCGCGGGGCUUGCCCGGGGAGUGUGGCAGCGACACCUGCUGGGCGGGCGAGGGGCGCGUCGCUGCGCCACAGACCCGGGGGCGGCCGGGCGGGAAGCGCCGUGCGGCGGCCGCUGGGGCUGGGGGAGGCGGGGGGUGCCGGCCGGUAAGAAUACCGCCACCGCGGGGGCACGGCAGGAGCCCGGCGCUCCGGGGGAAGGCGGCUGCAGGCAGAGCCGCGCAGCGUGGGCUGGUGCCUGUCCGCUGUGGGGGAGGCGCGCUCGCCUCAGGCAGUUCUGGGGUGGGUGACCAAGUGGGCGCAAGCCUGAGCUUCGGCUUCCCUCGGGAGGCAUGGAUCAGCCGGGCCGCACCGGGAGGGAGGAGGAAGGCGUUUGGCAGCGGGCACGACGCUUGGGUGGGAAUGGGCAACUUUGUCUUCUCCAGGCCCACGACCCAGAUGCCCCCAUCGUCUGCAGAUGCUGUCACAUUGCCCAGGCUUCUUGCAUGGGCUGCCCCAUGUCACCUCACGCAUAACUCAGAACGGCCCAGACAGGCUGCAUCGCACUGUAGUGGGAACUGAGUCGUGUCCCUGUCCCUUCAACUACAGUGGCUGGCUGAUUGUAUUUCUGUAACCAUAACCUUUCGUCCUUUUUUUAACUCCAAGGUGCUAAUUCCUACUGCUGUCUUCAAAACUAAGCAAGCUCUUAAUCCAAUGGCUUUCAUCGCUGACCUGCAGAGCACCUGCGUGGAAUCAAAGCAGCUCUGGCUGAUCACCUAGCUUUGCCCCUUGCUCUGCUGAAACCAUCCUUGGAAAAGCACAGGUGGAUUCAAGAGUUCUGCCAGAGCUGCUGCUUCAAGCCAUCCACCAGCAAGGAAUCGAGGCAUCUGACCACUGUCCUGCAUAUUUCUGAGUUGUUAACAACUAUCACAAUUGCUGCAUGCAAAGUACCUGUACAUGAAGGGUUUUGAUUCAUUGUAUUACCUAUCAGGCUAGAAGGCUGCAUUUAGACGUGGCGUGAGCUCAACCUGAGUCUAAUUACAGUGUAGAAAAAAUAGCAGUGCAAAAUGUUACCAAUUUUUAACAGACUAGAGUAAGUGUAACCUACUUUCUCCAGAUACGAUCUGUGUAAAAAGAUCUUGGUUUAUCUGAACUAUUUGCAAUGCUAGAAGCAUCAGAAUUACUGCACUUUUAAAACCAAUUGGAAUGAAGGAAAGACUGUUCUAGCCGUGAAAUGUAUUUCAAGACCCAUUUAUUAAUAUUUGUCCUAAACUAAUUAGGUGAUACAAAGAGUAUACUUACUAAGAGUAAGUGCUAAAAUUCUGAGAAUGAUGCAUUUUAUUUCUCUCAGAAAACAGAAAUAAAAUGUUUAUCAAAAUCAUUGCUAAUGGUAUUUAAAAA